UACGUAGGGGGCAAGCGUUAUCCGGAAUUACUGGGUGUAAAGGGAGCGUAGACGGUAAUGUAAGUCUGGAGUGAAAGGCGGGGGCCCAACCCCCGGACUGCUCUGGAAACUAUGUUACUAGAGUGCAGGAGAGGUAAGCGGAAUUCCUAGUGUAGCGGUGAAAUGCGUAGAUAUUAGGAGGAACACCAAUGGCGAAGGCGGCUUACUGGACUGUAACUGACGUUGAGGCUCGAAAGCGUGGGGAGCAAACAGG
rnacentral:rRNA from 1 species